rnacentral:rRNA from 1 species
ACUUGUACCGACUGGAUGAGCAGCGAACGGGUGAGUAACGCGUGGGGAAUCUGCCUUUGAGCGGGGGACAACAUUUGGAAACGAAUGCUAAUACCGCAUAAAAACUUUAAACACAAGUUUUAAGUUUGAAAGAUGCAAUUGCAUCACUCAAAGAUGAUCCCGCGUUGUAUUAGCUAGUUGGUGAGGUAAAGGCUCACCAAGGCGAUGAUACAUAGCCGACCUGAGAGGGUGAUCGGCCACAUUGGGACUGAGACACGGCCCAAACUCCUACGGGAGGCAGCAGUAGGGAAUCUUCGGCAAUGGACGAAAGUCUGACCGAGCAACGCCGCGUGAGUGAAGAAGGUUUUCGGAUCGUAAAACUCUGUUGGUAGAGAAGAACGUUGGUGAGAGUGGAAAGCUCAUCAAGUGACGGUAACUACCCAGAAAGGGACGGCUAACUACGUG